AAAUUGAAGAGUUUGAUCAUGGCUCAGAUUGAACGCUGGCGGCAGGCCUAACACAUGCAAGUCGAACGGUAACAGGAAGCAGCUUGCUGCUUCGCUGACGAGUGGCGGACGGGUGAGUAAUGUCUGGGAAACUGCCUGAUGGAGGGGGAUAACUACUGGAAACGGUAGCUAAUACCGCAUAAUGUCGCAAGACCAAAGAGGGGGACCUUCGGGCCUCUUGCCAUCGGAUGUGCCCAGAUGGGAUUAGCUUGUUGGUGGGGUAACGGCUCACCAAGGCGACGAUCCCUAGCUGGUCUGAGAGGA
rnacentral:rRNA from 1 species